UAGCUCUUGUAGACCAAGCUGGCCUCGAAUUCCCAGAGAUCCGCCUGCCUCUGCCUCCCGAGUGCUGGGAUUAAAGGGGUGCGUCACCACCGCCUGGCCUUGAACAUCGGACUUUCAAAACAGAAGGGCUCUUCAUUUAUGAAUUCAACUUCAUGACUUUGCUAUUAUUUUGGCACUCAGUGUACGCAGUUUCAGAAAUGUGAACUGUGCACACGCAUGAGACGCACAGAUGUAGCCAUGAAGCCAGCCAAGAGUCCAAAGGGCCUGCCCUGGGGAACAGUGUCUGGGAGGAGAGAAAAGGUCCAGUUAUUCCAGGGUCCCAAAGAGGCGCUAUCUGAAAAAGACACGGGCGGGAGAGGGAAAGAAGACCAAGCAAGUCAAACAGGAUUCUGUUCUCAAUUUGUCAAGGAACACGGGGAAGAGGCACAAGAAGGGGCCAAAAUUCAGUAAGUAUGAUCCCAAAGACACUCCGCAGAACAGUGAAUGCAUUCUUGAUCCAAAGCUAGGUUUAGAAGCAGCACUACGUUCUGGCGCCCACAAUUCGUGGUGAUGAAGCUGGUAGACCAAGGAAGAGGUCGACAGCUGUCAGAGGAGGAUCUGCCAGACCUGAACAGUCAGCCCCACCCCGCGAGCUGAGGGUGGAAGGCUGAGCAGCCUGAACAUCCUGGUCUCCAUGUGCACACAUCCAGAGUUGCCGAGAGCGCUGCCCAGGCCGCAGUUCCUGAGGCCUGGAUGUCCCAGAGGCGAAGUCAGCAGCGCUUCAUGAAGGUGGGAACGGAGGAUGCCUACUGCUGAGGAAACUUCACCAGGCCGUCUACUGUCAGCAAGAGAAUAGAAGAGUUGCAAGGCUGGAGGAAGUUGGUGAUGGAAGAGAGAAAGCAGUGCGUUUGCCUGCAGGGAUCCUGCGCAGGGAUAGUCCCAGACAAUUGCUUGCCGCCUCCCUCUCUGGCCUGCACCUCUCAAGUUCUCUCAGCCCCAAGGCCCUUUCUCAGAACAGCAUGCACUGAUAUAGGACAUCCAGACCCACAGGCAAAUGGUCCUCGUGUCUGAGUUAACUGCAAUGAGAAGAAAUGAAGAGGCCAAGCUGCCUGUCAAUUCUCAGACCCACGCUGCACCUGAAUACUUUCAACAAGUCACUUCAGAAGUAUCCUGCCCAACAGGUCACAGGCACAGAAGGAGGCCAAGACCAGAACAUUCCUCCACAGCAAUUACAAGCAAACCCUGGAACCGUGUGGGAAGACUGCUCUACGGGUGGCAGAACAAGAGCAAGAGCACAGGGUGGCCUGACACCCAGGAAGCAGAGCUGUCCAACCUUUCCAUGGGGCCGGAGAGGUGGCUGACUAGGUAAUUUUCCGAGUGAGGGGCACCUGUUUGGAGCUGGGACGACGGCUCAGUGGUGAAGAGGAUGUACUUACUGUUCUUGCAGAAGUCCUGAGCUGGGCUUCCAACCAUCUGCAACACCGUCUCUAAGACAUCCAGC